rnacentral:rRNA from 1 species
UACAGAGGUGGCAAGCGUUGUUCGGAAUUACUGGGCGUAAAGGGCGCGUAGGCGGUCAGCACAAGUCAGUUGUGAAAUCUCCGGGCUUAACUCGGAAAGGUCAACUGAUACUGUGCGACUAGAGUGCAGAAGGGGCAACUGGAAUUCUCGGUGUAGCGGUGAAAUGCGUAGAGAUCGGGGGGAACACCCGUGGCGAAGGCGGCCAGCUGGGCCGACCCUGACACUGAGGCGCGAAGGCGUGGGGAGCGAACGGG